GGCCUCACAAUCCCUUGCAGAGAAGAAGUCUUUGUUGAUCUCAUUUGCAGCUUGUAGGCCGAUUAUUUAGUGUAGAAUCGUUUCUUGAAGGACAUGAUUGCCUCUCUAACAUCACUGACAUGGAUGAUUACGACCUGAGAAAUGUGUAGAUUGAAAUUUUCUCAAAUAGAUGUGAAGUUUUGAUUUUUCAAGUGAAUAUUAUGUUCGCAAUCUUCUUUAUUUGGUCAUUUAUUUGAUUUCUACAGUGGUCAUGUUCCUUGUCAAUUCACCUUGAGGCUUUAUGAAUAUAUGCAGCGGAUCCAUCAUAAAGAUGUACAAAUGCCGUCUGAAAAGGAAACUGAUGCUACAUCACAUCGAUAUAAAAAUUGAGCUCAACAGAGUUGGAAACAAAAUAAAUGCUUGCUGUUGGUUGUUCAAAUAUCCAUCAGCACAAAAUAACCAGUGGUGGGGAACACUUCACAUGAGCUUCGUGGUUUUGUUGGUCACUUGCAAAUACAUGAAAUGAUGCAUCAAGAAAUUGACCUACCCACAGGAAGUGAUUUUGAAUAUUGCUGUAUGCCUCCAAUUGCAGACUCCAGCACAUGCCAAUUGAUGCAGAUAUUGACAACAUGUGAAGUCUCAAGACUCCAGGCCUCAUUGGCCCUAUACCGUAUCCACUUGUUUAACUUAGCAGAUAAAGUCACUUGCCAUCCUCUCACCUAUGUAUGCCAUUAGCAAGCCCUUUUCUUCUGCAACCAAAUCAGAAAUCACGUUUAUAAUCUAGUUCCGUCCAUUGAGUGCUGUAGCCUUCUCUUUGAGUCUUUCCUCCCAAUGAAAAGAUUUAUAGUCAUGCGGAUUCGUUUUCCCGGAAUUAUGCCUCCCAAGAAGAUUCUGCAGCAAUCUUUAUCUGCUCAAAAAGAAGAAAAUUCAGAAGCCUCAGAUGUUCCAACGGGACACUCUGUAGUUUAUGUAGGAGAGAACAAAAGCAGAGAUUUGUCAUUCCUCUGUUAUACUUAUCUCAGCCCCCAUUUCAGGACCUCCUGAAUCAGGCUGAGGAAGAGUUUGGCUUUGAUAAUCCAAUGGGAGUCUACACAAUAACAUGCGAGGAAGAAGUUUUCCUCAAUCUGAUGGAUGUAUAAUCAAUCAUCAAAGAUAACUCCUGGAAGAUCAGUUCAAACACUUGAUACAAUUUUGAAGAAGUGGAUGAGUGGUGUAGAUUUUUUCUCCCACUUGUUUUACUGAGGAUAGAAGUAGGAGUACCAGCUUGAGGAGAUAUACUGAUGUAUUGUGCAAGAUUUAUGAAUGAAAUCCAUUCAUCUCAAUAUGUAAAAAACUGAUUUAUUUUCUUUGGCAAGAGCAUUUUGCUAGAAGAAGAGAAAUUUGAUCUACUCAUAUGUAAUUAUCGUCACUUAAAGAUUCAUCUUUUA